GUCCACGCCGUAAACGUUGGGCACUAGGUGUGGGUUCCAACCAACGGAAUCCGCGCCGUCGCUAACGCAUUAAGUGCCCCGCCUGGGGAGUACGAUCGCAAGAUUAAAACUCAAAGGAAUUGACGGGGCCCGCACAAGCAGCGGAGCGUGUUGCUUAAUUCGAUGCAACGCGAAGAACCUUACCUGGGCUUGACAUGUACGGAAAAAGCCGUAGAGAUACGGUGUCCUUCGGGGCCGUACACAGGUGGUGCGUGGCUGUCGU
rnacentral:rRNA from 1 species